CACGUAGGGGCCAAGCGUUGUCCGGAUUCAUUGGGCGUAAAGAACUCGUAGGCGGUUCAGUUAGUCGGGGGUGAAAUCUCCGGGCUCAACCCGGAGGGGCCACCCGAUACUGCUGUGACUUGAGUCCGGUAGGGGAGUGGGGAAUUCCUGGUGUAGCGGUGAAAUGCGCAGAUAUCAGGAGGAACACCGGUGGCGAAGGCGCCACUCUGGGCCGGUACUGACGCUGAGGAGCGAAAGCGUGGGUAGCAAACAGG
rnacentral:rRNA from 1 species